AAGGCUUUGUUCACAAUAACAUGCAUUCAUUAUAAACAAAUUAGUGCAGUUUAUGAACAAGCAGUGAGAAAGUAAGCAGAGUGUGUAGUAGGCAUGCAAACAGUGACCUAUCAACAGGAAUAUAUGAUUUCAACCCUAUUGCAGUAAGGCAUUCGUUAUAAACAAAUAAAUACAGAAAGAAUGGAGAAGCACAAAUGUAAAGUACGAGGUAUAAGAGCUACAAUACUAUUGCAAGAAACUAGGAAGAGAUAAUAGCUGUUUUGUGCUGCAUAUGCAUGGUCGGAGUGCCAAACAUGAGUACUGUUCCAAUAUUAGUUGGGCAUAUAUACAUACAAUUUUAACAAAAAAAAAUAAAAAUGAUAAGACACAGAGCAAUUAUGACUAAGCCACAAACUAGGGCCGCCCAGCGCAAAUCUGGAAC
rnacentral:misc_RNA from 1 species